CGACUUAAGACUAGUUAAGACUCUACGACUGCUACAACUUCUAUUGUAGACCCCGCUUAAUAUACAUGUCUGCACGUCUCUAACCUCUAAAGCCCAAGACAGAUUGAUAGUUUAUAUGAAAUCAGUCAAUCAAUAAUGAAUCAAUCAACUUUUAAAAAACGGCAGUUGGAAAUGUUGGAAUCCAAGCAGAAGCAACAAUUAAAAGCGCUUGAUAUAAAAGAGAGUCUCAUCUUUUGAAUCCAACGGAGUUCUAUUGAUUGAUGGAUGGAAAAAUUCAUCAGCUAAUACGAAAAAUAUGGUUUGCACAGUUCAUACAGUAAACUCUAAGUGCAUAUUUCUUAAAUCCUGGGAUUUAAUCGGACUGAAAGAAACUGGUGAUCAACUCAAAGAAAUUGUCAACGAGGGAAUAAAAUUAGCAAAAGAAAAGUUUAAUAUUAUUACGUAUGCUGUUGUUUCGGAUAAUGCAUCAUCAAUGAUGUUGAUGGGGAAGAAAGUAAAUAUUUGGCAUACUACUUGUCAAAGUCAUAGUGGCAAUCUGUUAGCAAAAUCCUUUGUGCCUGAGACAUAUGCGAAGAAUGUAAACAACUUUUGCAUGCAUUCAAGACACCAGCUGCAGAAUAUGAAUUAGAGCAACGAGGAGGCUCCAGAAUAAUUUUAGCAUGUGACACAAGGUGGUGCAGCUAUCGAGAUGCAUUUAGAUGUCUGCUGAAAAAUUUACCUCUGAUGCUAGAAAUAAUUGCUAACAAAAAGAUCCAACUAAGCAGUAAAAACGAGAGCUUGCUCAAGGAUCCCUCAUUUGUGACGCAAAUACAGGAUUUUAUCUUGAUUUUUGACCCGAUAUGUCAAUUGAUAAAUGUCUGUCAGCGAUCUGAUUGUAGUAUAGCCGACGGAUGUGAAAAAUAGCUGAAAUUAGAAAUUCCGACAGUUCAUGACGAAAUGCAACAAAAGCUGCGUAACCGACUGAAAAAAGUCUUAACACCAAUUGUGCUAACUUCGAAUUUUCUACAUCCUCAAUACCGAGCUAAACGAUUUUU